rnacentral:rRNA from 1 species
AGUAAUGUCUGGGAAACUGCCUGAUGGAGGGGGAUAACUACUGGAAACGGUAGCUAAUACCGCAUAACGUCGCAAGACCAAAGAGGGGGACCUUCGGGCCUCUUGCCAUCGGAUGUGCCCAGAUGGGAUUAGCUAGUAGGUGGGGUAACGGCUCACCUAGGCGACGAUCCCUAGCUGGUCUGAGAGGAUGACCAGCCACACUGGAACUGAGACACGGUCCAGACUCCUACGGGAGGCAGCAGUGGGGAAUAUUGCACAAUGGGCGCAAGCCUGAUGCAGCCAUGCCGCGUGUAUGAAGAAGGCCUUCGGGUUGUAAAGUACUUUCAGCGGGGAGGAAGGGAGUAAAGUUAAUACCUUUGCUCAUUGACGUUACCCGCAGAAGAAGCACCGGCUAACUCCGUGCCAGCAGCCGCGGUAAUACGGAGGGUGCAAGCGUUAAUCGGAAUUACUGGGCGUAAAGCGCACGCAGGCGGUUUGUUAAGUCAGAUGUGAAAUCCCCGGGCUCAACCUGGGAACUGCAUCUGAUACUGGCAAGCUUGAGUCUCGUAGAGGGGGGUAGAAUUCCAGGUGUAGCGGUGAAAUGCGUAGAGAUCUGGAGGAAUACCGGUGGCGAAGGCGGCCCCCUGGACGAAGACUGACG